UACGUAGGUGGCAAGCGUUGUCCGGACUUACUGGGUGUAAAGGGCGUGUAGCCGGGCUGACAAGUCAGAUGUGAAAUCCGGGGGCUCAACCCCCGAACUGCAUUUGAAACUGUUGGUCUUGAGUAUCGGAGAGGCAGGCGGAAUUCCUAGUGUAGCGGUGAAAUGCGUAGAUAUUAGGAGGAACACCAGUGGCGAAGGCGGCCUGCUGGACGACAACUGACGGUGAGGCGCGAAAGCGUGGGGAGCAAACAGG
rnacentral:rRNA from 1 species